AUGUUGCUGCUCCCAGUCCUUCUUGCAACUUCGCUGUGGUCCCGUGGAGACGCACAGGCAGCGCCAAUGCAAACCCCAGAGCUGCAGAGGCAGGUGACUGGCAGCUCUGUCAGCAUGGCGUGCCGAAUGAGCGCCAAAAACAUCGUGCACUGGUACAGGCAGCUUCCCGGAGAGCCGCCAAAGAGGAUCCUGUACGUGUCGGGACAGUCACCUGUGUUUGAUGACAGCAGUGAUACAUGGAGAUUUCAAGUAUGGAAACAUCCUACUGAGCCCCUCUACGGUCUCACGAUACAAUAUUUAACCCCGAGGGAUUCUGGCACCUACUACUGUGCCUAUUGGUUCUAUGAAGGC